rnacentral:rRNA from 1 species
CGGGACGGGUGAGUAAUGUCUGGGAAACUGCCUGAUGGAGGGGGGUAACUACUGGAAACGGUAGCUAAUACCGCAUAACGUCGCAAGACCAAAGAGGGGGACCUUCGGGCCUCCUGCCAUCGGAUGUGCCCAGAUGGGAUUAGCUAGUAGGUGGGGUAACGGCUCACCUAGGCGACGAUCCCUAGCUGGUCUGAGAGGAUGACCAGCCACACUGGAACUGAGACACGGUCCAG